GGGGGCGUACUGGUUUCGACCGGAUUGCAAGAGGUUCAGAUCGCGUGUCGUGGUUGGUCGGCAGGCCACGCUAAAAGUCGACCACAGCUUCAAUUGCCGAAGCUCAGUUUUCUCUGGCAGCUUAACUAAGUUGCUCCGAGCGAUGGCCCCAGUCGGAAGGGCCUACCAAUCGGUCGCCAAAUCCGACUCGUCCUGUUUCAUCGCCUAGUACGGGCAGGACCAAAUUUGUUCUGGGCUGGUGAAAGGCACACCCUGUCGGCCGGGGGGUUUUUCACGAGAUUUAAAUUGACCGAAUACACACGUAGAAGUUUGUUCUGAAACGUCACGGGACGCGGGUUCGAUUCCCGCCGCCUCCACUC
rnacentral:tmRNA from 1 species